rnacentral:rRNA from 1 species
GUGAGGAAUAUUGGACAAUGGAUGGAAAUCUGAUCCAGCCAUGCCGCGUGCAGGAAGACGGCCCUAUGGAUUGUAAACUGCUUUUAUACGGGAGCAAUAAGGUCUAUGCAUAGAUUGAUGAGAGUACCGUAUGAAUAAGCAUCGGCUAACUCCGUGCCAGCAGCCGCGGUAAUACGGAGGAUGCGAGCGUUAUCCGGAUUUAUUGGGUUUAAAGGGUGCGUAGGCGGCUUUGUAAGUCAGCGGUGAAAUUUUGCAGCUUAACUGUAAAAGCGCCGUUGAUACUGUGAAGCUAGGAUUUGGUUGCUGUGGGCGGAAUGUGUGGUGUAGCGGUGAAAUGCAUAGAGAUCACACAGAAUAUCGAUUGCGAAGGCAGCUCACAAAGCCAAUAUUGACGCUGAGGCACGAAAGUGUGGGGAUCAAACAGGAUUAGAUACCCUAGUAGUCC